UACGACUACAUAUCAGGCAUAUCAAUAAGCGGAGGAAAAGAAACUAACAAGGAUUCCCUUAGUAACGGCGAGUGAAGCGGGAAGAGCUCAAAUUUGAAAUCUUCAAGGGUUCUACCUUUACGAAUUGUAGUUUAAAGAAGUGUUUUCUGUUGGAGUGAGUACAAAAGUUCCUUUGGAAUAGGACAUCAUAGAGGGUGAGAAUCCCGUAUUUGGUUAUUCAUUCUAGCUGUGUGAUACACUUUCAAAGAGUCGGAUUGUUUGGGAAUGCAGUCCAAGAUGGGUGGUAAAUUUCAUCUAAAGCUAAAUAUUGGCGAGAGACCGAUAGCGAACAAGUACCGUGAGGGAAAGAUGAAAAGAACUUUGAAAAGAGAGUUAAACAGUACGUGAAAUUGUCAAAAGGGAAGCGUUUGACACCAGUGUUGUUUUUCCGAAAAUCAAUUACGAAUGGCUUGAUUUUGUGUUGUAUUGACCUUAUCAGCUUUCUUCACUUUUUUCGAGUCUUUCUUAAUGCACUUUUCGGUUAACAAGUCAACAUCAAUUUCUUUUGUUGUAAAAGAGUAUUCGGAAGGUGGCUUUCUUUUCGGAGAAAGUGUUUAUAGCCCUAUACUUCUACAAUCGGAGAGAUUGAGGUCUGCAGCGUAGAUCCUUCGGGGUUAGAUACACUUGUGCUAAGUUGUAGCUUUUCAUAGACAACUUGUUGACUAUGUUUAGUCAUGCGGCUUACUCGCUUGUGCUAUUUUACCUACGCUUAGGAUGUUGAGUAGCGACAUACGCAC
rnacentral:rRNA from 1 species